CAGCAGCCACGGGAAUACGUAGGGUGCGAGCGUUAAUCGGAAUUACUGGGCGUAAAGCGUGCGCAGGCGGUUCGUUAAGACAGAUGUGAAAUCCCCGGGCUUAACCUGGGAACUGCAUUUGUGACUGGCGAGCUAGAGUAUGGCAGAGGGGGGUAGAAUUCCACGUGUAGCAGUGAAAUGCGUAGAGAUGUGGAGGAAUACCGAUGGCGAAGGCAGCCCCCUGGGCCAAUACUGACGCUCAUGCACGAAAGCGUGGGGAGCAAACAGGAUUAGAUACCCCAGUAGUCCCUGUCUCUUAUAC
rnacentral:rRNA from 1 species